GAACUUGGACCGGGUUAAGAGUCUACUAGAUUCAGUUAUCAUGUAACAAAGAAAGAGGGAAAGGGAAAGGAGUCAGAAAGAGAAAGUGAACAACAAUAAAUUAGAGAGUGAGGCAAAGUCAUUCAAGCCUGACAUUUGGUUCUUUGAUUGCUUUUUCAGUCUUAUUUCCCAUGUCCAUUCCAUAGGCAAGUCAUGUCCAUACCACCUCCAAAAUAAACCCUGCCCAGUGACCACAAAAACUAAGGGAUCGUCAAGCUUUCCCUCUUCCCCACAACCUCUUCAUUCUCCUCAGAGCAGCAGGAUGUCUGAUCACCCUUCUCACCCUCAGGCUACCUGCUACUGUGUACCAGGUCCUCCAGGCCCUGGGUAAUCAGGGUCCUAUCCCCAAUCCUCACAUUUACCUGAACUUCAAGCCACCCUCGCCUUUUCUUAAGCUUACUCCCACUCAGAAUGGUCCAGCACAUGAUUGGCACUCAGUAUUGUUGAAUGACAAUGAGAUACAGCAAUGACAUGAAGACCUUGUGGGGAAGAGAAUGUGUGAAGGCAGAAAGGAAACGAUAGGAAAGAGGAAGAGAGCAAGUAGAUUAGGAAGACAGAAUGGAGGGAGGAAAGGUCAAGUGUUCCCAUUUUACUGGAACCCAGAUGAGGAGAUGGGGAAGACAGAUGAAGCUGGAGUGACUGUUACUGAUAAAUUCUGUAGCUAUACAUGCUCUGGAUGGUGUUUACUUAUUUAAAACCCCUGACAGCAGUGUGGAGAUCCUUUUGAUCAUAUAAUCUGUGAUUGUGGCAUUCUGUCAAACAUUUGAAUAGAAUCCAUUUUUCCAUCAUCAUCAUCAUCAUCAUCAUCAUCAUCAUCAUCAUCAUCAUCAGUACCAGCCUCACCAUCAUCACUAUUCUACAAUGAGCACCAAGAUCUCACAUUCCGGAGGAAGAUAUUUCAAUGUAGAUUAUAGCUUUUUUAAUUUAAACUUUUUUGAAAUGCAAAUAUGAAAAUUAUAUUGUAUUCAUCCACCAGAGGGAGCCUCCAAAUCUACUGUCUAAAAGGAAAUAAGGCUGAAAUAAAUAAGUGGAAAUUUUGUACAUUUUAUUGUUGAUGAUGAAAUUUUAAUCAACUCUGUGUCCUGGUGCUGUGGGCUCACAUUAGGAUUUUUGAACAUAAGGUGACUAAAAUCUUUUCUUAUACACAUGCCAUUUCAUUUUACUUUAUGGUUCUUAAAUAACUGUCUAUAUUUUUGUCCUUUUCUAACUUUGUAGUUUGAGGUUUUGUGCUAUUUUAGCUCUAUAUUUAAUAUUUUAAUUAAGAGUAC
ensembl:lncRNA